rnacentral:rRNA from 1 species
UCAGAAUGAACGCUGGCGGCAUGCCUAACACAUGCAAGUCGAACGAAUGCCCUUCGGGGUGUUAGUGGCGCACGGGUGCGUAACGCGUGGGAAUCUGCCCUUGGGUUCGGAAUAACAGUUGGAAACGACUGCUAAUACCGGAUGAUGACGUAAGUCCAAAGAUUUAUCGCCCAGGGAUGAGCCCGCGUAGGAUUAGGUAGUUGGUGUGGUAAAGGCGCACCAAGCCGACGAUCCUUAGCUGGUCUGAGAGGAUGAUCAGCCACACUGGGACUGAGACACGGCCCAGACUCCUACGGGAGGCAGCAGUGGGGAAUAUUGGACAAUGGGCGAAAGCCUGAUCCAGCAAUGCCGCGUGAGUGAUGAAGGCCUUAGGGUUGUAAAGCUCUUUUACCCGGGAUGAUAAUGACAG